UAUUGCACAAUGGGCGCAAGCCUGAUGCCGCCAUGCCGCGUGUAUGAAGACGGCCUUCGGGUUGUAAAGUACUCUCAGCGGGGAGGACGGGAGUAAAGUUAAUACCUUUGCUCUUUGACGUUACCCGCAGAAGAAGCACCGCCUAACUCCGUGCCAGCAGCCGCGGUAAUACGGAGGGUGCAAGCGUUAAUCGGAAUUACUGGGCGUAAAGCGCACGCAGGCGGUUUGUUAAGUCAGAUGUGAAAGCCCCGGGCUCAACCUGGGAACUGCAUCUGAUACUGGCAAGCUUGAGUCUCGUAGAGGGGGGGUAGAAUUCCAGGUGUAGCGGUGAAAUGCGUAGAGAUCUGGAGGAAUACCGGUGGCGAAGGCGGCCCCCUGGACGAAGACUGACGCUCAGGUGCGAAAGCGUGGGGAGCAAA
rnacentral:rRNA from 1 species